GCUAAACGCGAAGAACCUUACCAGGCCUUGACAUGCAGAGAACUUUCCAGAGAUGGAUUGGUGCCUUCGGGAACUCUGACACAGGUGCUGCAUGGCUGUCGUCAGCUCGUGUCGUGAGAUGUUGGGUUAAGUCCCGCAACGAGCGCAACCCUUGUCCUUAGUUGCCAGCGAGUAAUGUCGGGAACUCUAAGGAGACUGCCGGUGACAAACCGGAGGAAGGUGGGGAUGACGUCAAGUCCGUCAUGGCCCUUACGGCCAGGGCUACACACGUGCUACAAUGGCCGGUACAAAGGGCUGCCAACCCGCAAGGGGGAGCCAAUCCCAGAAAGCCGGUCGUAGUCCGGAUCGGAGUCUGCAACUCGACUCCGUGAAGUCGGAAUCGCUAGUAAUCGCGAAUCAGCAAUGUCGCGGUGAAUACGUUCCCGGGGUCUUGUACACA
rnacentral:rRNA from 1 species